rnacentral:miRNA from 1 species
UACCCUAUUAAAUUUGAAUUUCAGUUAAACACAAAUUAUUGUUAGUAUAAGUAUAUCCCUUGCAAUAUUUGGGACAUACUUAUAUUAAAACAUUGUUGUUUAUAUGAAAUUCAGAUUUAACUGGGUGUC